GUACGGGAGGCAGCAGUGGGGAAUAUUGGACAAUGGGCGAAAGCCUGAUCCAGCAAUGCCGCGUGAGUGAUGAAGGCCUUAGGGUUGUAAAGCUCUUUUACCAGGGAUGAUAAUGACAGUACCUGGAGAAUAAGCUCCGGCUAACUCCGUGCCAGCAGCCGCGGUAAUACGGAGGGAGCUAGCGUUGUUCGGAAUCACUGGGCGUAAAGCGCACGUAGGCGGCUACUCAAGUCGGGGGUGAAAGCCCGGGGCUCAACCCCGGAACUGCCCUCGAAACUAGGUAGCUAGAAUCUUGGAGAGGCGAGUGGAAUUCCGAGUGUAGAGGUGAAAUUCGUAGAUAUUCGGAAGAACACCAGUGGCGAAGGCGACUCGCUGGACAAGUAUUGACGCUGAGGUGCGAAAGCGUGGGGAGCAAACAGGAUUAGAUACCCCGGU
rnacentral:rRNA from 1 species